UGACGGUACUUGACUAAGAAGCCCCGGCUAACUACGUGCCAGCAGCCGCGGUAAUACGUAGGGGGCAAGCGUUAUCCGGAUUUACUGGGUGUAAAGGGAGCGUAGACGGCAAAGCAAGUCUGAAGUGAAAUCCCGGGGCUCAACCCUGGAACUGCUUUGGAAACUGUUUAGCUAGAGUGCAGGAGAGGUAAGUGGAAUUCCUAGUGUAGCGGUGAAAUGCGUAGAUAUUAGGAGGAACACCAGUGGCGAAGGCGGCUUACUGGACUGUAACUGACGUUGAGGCUCGAAAGCGCGGGGAGCAAACAGGAUUAGAUACCCUG
rnacentral:rRNA from 1 species